CCUACGGGUGGCAGCAGUGGGGAAUAUUGCACAAUGGGGGAAACCCUGAUGCAGCAACGCCGCGUGAGUGAAGAAGUAUUUCGUUAUGUAAAGCUCUAUCAGCAGGGAAGAGAAUGACAGUAACUGGAUAAAGAACCCCCGCUAACUAAGGUCCAAGCACCGGGGUUAUAAGUAGGGGGCAAGCGUUAUCCGGAUUUACUGGGGGGAAAGGGGGCGUUGACGGGAGUGGAAGUCUGAAGUGAAAGGCCAGGGCUCAACCCCGGGACUGCUCUGGAAACUGUACGGCUAGAGUACGGGAGAGGGAAGAGGAAGUCCUGGUGUAGCGGUGAAAUGCGUAGAUAUUAGGAGGAACACCAGUGGCGAAGGCGUCUUACUGGACCGAAACUGACGUUGAGGCUCGAAAGCGUGGGGAGCAAACAGGAGUAGAUACCCGAGUAGUC
rnacentral:rRNA from 1 species